rnacentral:rRNA from 1 species
AGUGAACGCUGGCGGUAGGCCUAACACAUGCAAGUCGAACGGCAGCACAGUAAGAGCUUGCUCUUACGGGUGGCGAGUGGCGGACGGGUGAGGAAUACAUCGGAAUCUACUUUUUCGUGGGGGAUAACGUAGGGAAACUUACGCUAAUACCGCAUACGACCUACGGGUGAAAGCAGGGGAUCUUCGGACCUUGCGCGAUUGAAUGAGCCGAUGUCGGAUUAGCUAGUUGGCGGGGUAAAGGCCCACCAAGGCGACGAUCCGUAGCUGGUCUGAGAGGAUGGUCAGCCACACUGGAGCUGGGACACGCUCCAGACUCCUGCGGGACGCACCAGUGGGGAAUAUUGGACAAUGGGCGCAAGCCUGAUCCAGCCAUACCGCGUGGGUGAAGAAGGCCUUCGGGUUGUAAAGCCCUUUUGUUGGGAAAGAAAAGCAGCAGGUUAAUACCCCGCUGUUCUGACGGUACCCAAAGAAUAAGCACCGGCUAACUUCGUG